rnacentral:rRNA from 1 species
CUCUUCUUGAUAUUUAUUUGAAGUAUAACCUGCCCACUGAUUAUUUUUGAAGGGCCGCGGUAUUUUGACCGUGCAAAGGUAGCAUAAUCAUUAGUCUUUUAAUUGGAGACUGGAAUGAAUGGUUGGACGAGGAAUAGACUGUUUCUUUAGAAUUUAUUUGAACUUAAAAUUUAAGUAAAAAUGCUUAAAUUUUUUUAUGGGACGAGAAGACCCUAUAGAGUUUAAUAUAUUUUAUUAUUGUUAUAUUUGUAAUGUAUAAAAUAUUGUUAAUAUAUUUUGUUGGGGUGAUGGGAAGAAUUAAUAAACUCUUUUUUAUAUUUAUAUAUUUAUAUAUAAUUUUUUGAUCCAUUUUUGUUGAUUAUAAGACUAAAUUACCUUAGGGAUAACAGCGUAA